UUUUCAGCAGCCGCGGUAAUACGUAGGGUGCGAGCGUUGUCCGGAAUUACUGGGCGUAAAGAGCUCGUAGGUGGUUUGUCGCGUUGUUCGUGAAAACCGAAGGCUCAACCUUUGGCGUGCGGGCGAUACGGGCAGACUGGAGUACUGCAGGGGAGACUGGAAUUCCUGGUGUAGCGGUGGAAUGCGCAGAUAUCAGGAGGAACACCGGUGGCGAAGGCGGGUCUCUGGGCAGUAACUGACGCUGAGGAGCGAAAGCGUGGGGAGCGAACAGGAUUAGAAACCCUCGUAGUCC
rnacentral:rRNA from 1 species